rnacentral:rRNA from 1 species
AGAGUUUGAUCNUGGCUCAGAUUGAACGCUGGCGGCAUGCCUUACACAUGCAAGUCGAACGGCAGCACGGGUGCUUGCACCUGGUGGCGAGUGGCGAACGGGUGAGUAAUACAUCGGAACGUACCUUAUCGUGGGGGAUAACGCAGCGAAAGUUGCGCUAAUACCGCAUACGCCCUGAGGGGGAAAGCGGGGGACCGUAAGGCCUCGCGCGAUUAGAGCGGCCGAUGUCUGAUUAGCUUGUUGGUGAGGUAAAAGCUCACCAAGGCGAUGAUCAGUAGCUGGUCUGAGAGGACGAUCAGCCACACUGGGACUGAGACACGGCCCAGACUCCUACGGGAGGCAGCAGUGGGGAAUUUUGGACAAUGGGGGCAACCCUGAUCCAGCAAUGCCGCGUGAGUGAAGAAGGCCUUCGGGUUGUAAAGCUCUUUUGUCAGGGAAGAAACAGCAGCUCUAACACAGUCUGCGAAUGACGGUACCUGAAGAAUAAGCACCGGCUAACUACGUGCCAGCAGCCGCGGUAAUACGUAGGGUGCGAGCGUUAAUCGGAAUUACUGGGCGUAAAGCGUGCGCAGGCGGUUAUACAAGACAGGCGUGAAAUCCCCGGGCUUAACCUGGGAAUGGCGUCUGUGACUGUAUAGCUAGAGUGUGUCAGAGGGGGGUGGAAUUCCACGUGUAGCAGUGAAAUGCGUAGAUAUGUGGAGGAACACCAAUGGCGAA